UGCGCUGCGACGUUGGGCGAGCAAAUCUCCAGGUAUCGUUCUCCGACGUCUAGAGGACAACCUCGACCUACCAUUGUCUUACCCCAUCCAGUCAUUGUCCACAUGUGGCUUCUCGAUCUACUAUUUUUCUUGCCCCAUCCAGCCAUUCUCCACAGGUAGCCCGCCUACCCCCAUGCCUAGCUCGGACAUCUGCUGAUGGCAAAGAACAGACCUCGGGUCUUCAGGAAUGCAGGUUUGCCAUGCGCCAAAAUGGUUCUUUCAAUUGAGAUGAAAUUAGGAAAACAGUACAAUCAGCCACAUUGCCCUUUUUCUUGUUCAAUCAUAUAAGUAUCUUGAGCUUUGGUGCGCACCUUAUUAAACAUGAUCCAUUAUAUGAAGUUGUAGAAAAUGUUAUUACUGACCCAUUCUAGUUGUUGCGAUAAGAAAAUCACACUUGAUUAUUUUCAGGACCUCUGGAGACCCCUGGCACAUGUGAUCGAAUGUAGAUGAAAAGAGCGUAAAAACUAAUAGAAUGGAGUACCAUUUCUGGGAAUAAAUGAUCAUUCAAUGGGUAAGUAUCUUCUAGUUGGAUCUAUGGUUAUUUUUUCUUAUUCCCAGAAAGCUAUCUAUAUUUUGAGUUAAGUUUUCGUCAUACAUGAACAAACAGGGAGAAAAUAUUUUCUGUUUGCUUGAACCAAAAGAUGCUGAUGCAUGUUCUUUCUUCUAUCGCCUGUAGCCGAGGACAGUACAACGAUUGUACCGCAACCUCACUCCUCAAACUCGCUGACUUGUUUUGUAGCUAGCCCUGACCUCUGUAGUUUAACUAGCAGCAGAACACCUGGCCUGUGUAGCAGCCAUUCAAAUAUUCUGCUAUCACUUGUUGCGUGCCUGCCCCAACAACAUAACAGAAGCAAGUAUAUAUCCUCUUUGUUAACAUGUAUACAGGUCAGAUCGUUUGAUGUAUUGCUGUUGUUGUACAAAAGAAAUAUGUUGCCGAUCCAUUGCGAGAAGAUUAACAGGUGAGUGAGCAGAGGGACAAGAAGGUGCCGUCGUGGUCGGGCAUCGUUUUGUUUUAGUGAAACAAUUUUGUUAGCUCUUUGCUCUUUCCUCAUUUGGUUGUAAUAACACUGAUUGUAAAAUAAAGGCAAAAUUUUUACAUUUUUGUAUGCAAAAAAUAAGCUCUCCCCUGUAUGGCAGAAUUUAUACCUGACCAAAUUGUUAUUGCAAGUUUAGUGAUGAUAUUAAGUGAAGUGUACAAAUGACUAUGCAGCGUACAGUUCUCUUCCUGCUAGUCAAAUGAUAUUAUUAAUGCAUACUCAUUAGAUUAGCUCAGGAGCAAAUAUUUUUAAGUACGGAUGUGAUAUACAUACAUGGUCUCUUGUGCUCAAACUGAUUCCUAUAUGUUUGGUGUCAUCUUUCCAGCACAUAAACCUUGAUGAGCAAGAAGCACGAGCACUGGAGGCAAGGGCUACAACUUUUCUGUUCUCUGCAUUCAAGAUAGCACAACACUAGAAAUGUCCAUGCCAUGUUAUGUAUUGCAUGUCUCUUGUGUAUCUUCUGCUGCUCCAGAUUGAUAAUGUACUCGACAUUAGUGAGUGAGAUGGUCCAGACUCUAGAGUGACAUGUACUCAAAUAUUUGUGCCUGAGAUGGUUUCACAUGUACUCAGAUCUUUAUGCCUGGGAUGGUCUAACUAGACGUGUGCUCAACUAUUUAUGUGUGGGAUGGUCCAGUUUCACAUCUACUCAGAUCUUCAUGCCUAGGAUGGUCUAACUUGACGUGUG
rnacentral:lncRNA from 1 species